AGUGUCACACAAAGUACACUCCAGCCUUCUGCUGUUACAGGUGCGGUGAUCCAGCACGGGGGUGUGUGGUAAUUAGUUUUGAUUCUCACCAUGAGGGCGGAAAUAUAUCCGUAAACCAAGCACAAAAGAUCAGAUAUUGGCAGCUUCCCACACUUCUCUGAGGGUAGAACAGCCAUAUACCUUCCUAACGUUUCUGUCAAGUUCCGGUGUAAACAACCCAGUGCCUGGCAGAUAAGGAAGGCCACCAUUGCGGUACAAGGCCGCUGGUUGGUUGCUAUGGAAACUGUGCAUAAUAUACGCUGAUUCACUUUGCAGGCAGCUGGGGGCACAAGCAUGGAUGUUGGAAGGAGGCUGAUUGAAUAGUCCCUAUAUGGAGAGGCGACACAGGAUCAGGACACAGGAGUCGCACCUUCCGUACGGCAGGGAGAGACAUGAUCAUGUGACGGGACGCAGCUUCACAUGGACACAAAGGCCAGAGAGUGGGAGAAAGCACCGCUAUGGAGACACACAGAACAUGGAACAGUUUCUCUUUAUAUUUAUGCAGGAACAAUGAAUUCGUCAUUGGCUCAUCGUCAUCACAGAUAAAGCCUCUCUCAUGCACCGCCAUAAAAGACUCCACUUAUGAUGGAUUAUUAAA